rnacentral:rRNA from 1 species
GCAGUACCGUGAGGGAAAGGUGAAAAGGACCCCGGGAGGGGAGUGAAAGAGAACCUGAAACCUUGUGCUUACAAGCACUCAAAGCCCGUUAAAGGGUGAUGAGGUACCUUUUGUAGAAUGGUCCGGCGAGUUAUUGUUACUGGCAAGCUUAAGGCAUUCAGUGCCGGAGGCGCAGGGAGACCGAGUCUGAAUAGGGCGUAUGAAGUCAGUGGCAAUAGACCCGAAACCGGGUGACCUAUCCAUGGGCAGGUUGAAGUGGGGGUAAAACCCCAUGGAGGACCGAACGCACGCCCGUUGCAAUGGUCGGCGAUGACCUGUGGAUAGCGGUGAAAUUCCAAUCGAACUCGGAGAUAGCUGGUUCUCCCCGAAAUAGCUUUAGGGCUAGCGUUGGCUUAGAUUACCGGAGGUAAAGCACUGAAUGGGCUAGGGGCCGAUAAGGUUACUGAACCCUAUCAAACUCUGAAUGCCGGAUAAUUGAUGGCCAGCAGUCAGUCUACGUGAGAUAAGUCUCGUGGACAAAAGGGAAACAGCCCAGACCCACAGCUAAGGUCCCAAAGAUACGCUAAGUGGAAAACGAUGUGGAGUUGCGAAAACAACCAGGAUGUUGGCUUAGAAGCAGCCACUCAUUAAAAGAGUGCGUAAUAGCUCACUGGUCGAGUGACUCUGCGCGGAAAAUAUAACGGGGCUAAGCGUAACACCGAAGCUUGGGCUGCACAGCAAUGUGCGGGGUAGGGGAGCGUCGAAUAUGGGGUGAAGUCGUAGCGGAAGCAGCGGUGGACUGUAUUCGAGUGAGAAUGCCGGAAUGAGUAGCGAGAAUUAUGUGGGAAUCAUAAUGGCCGAAAAUCUAAGGUUUCCUGGGGAAGGUUCGUCCGCCCAGGGUAAGCCGGGAGCUAAGGCGAGGCCGAAAGGCGUAGUCGAUGCACAUACGGUUGAAAUUCCGUAGCCACCGAACCUUAAGUACACUGACACAUGGAGAUAGCGGGACCCGGGCGUUGGUUGACCCGGGCGUAAGGGACCGAACUUUAGUAGGGAAGUCCGCGAUGCUCUGUGGCGAGAAAAGGUGUAUGGUAUGCUAAGGUGCCCGUACCGCAAACCGACACAGGUAGAUGAGGAGAGAAUCCUAAGGCCAACGGGAGAAGGGUUGUUAAGGAACUCGGCAAAAUGACCCCGUAACUUCGGGAUAAGGGGAGCCUGUCUAUGGCAGGCCGCAGAGAAUAGGCCCAAGCGACUGUUUACCAAAAACACAGGUCUAUGCUAAAUCGAAAGAUGACGUAUAUGGGCUGACGCCUGCCCGGUGCUGGAAGGUUAAGAGGAGAUGUCAGGCAACGAAGCAUUGAAUCGAAGCCCCAGUAAACGGCGGCCGUAACUAUAACGGUCCUAAGGUAGCGAAAUUCCUUGUCAGGUAAGUUCUGACCCG